rnacentral:rRNA from 1 species
ACGGGAGGCAGCAGUGAGGAAUAUUGGUCAAUGGGCGGAAGCCUGAACCAGCCAUGUCGCGUGCAGGACUACGGCCCUACGGGUCUUAAACUGCUUUUGCAAGGGGAUAAAGUGGGGCACGCGUGCCCCUUUGCAGGUACCUUGCGAAUAAGGAUCGGCUAACUCCGUGCCAGCAGCCGCGGUAAUACGGAGGAUCCGAGCGUUAUCCGGAUUUAUUGGGUUUAAAGGGUGCGCAGGCGGCACGUUAAGUCAGCGGUGAAAUGCAGGGGCUCAACCCCGGCACUGCCGUUGAAACUGGCGAGCUCGAGUACGGAUGAAGUCGGCGGAAUGUGAUGUGUAGCGGUGAAAUGCUUAGAUAUGUCACAGAACACCGAUUGCGAAGGCAGCUGACUAAUCCGCAACUGACGCUCAGGCACGAAAGCGUGGGGAUCGAACAGGAUUAGAUACCCUGGUA